CCUACGGGGGGCUGCAGUGGGGAAUAUUGGACAAUGGGCGAAAGCCUGAUCCAGCCAUGCCGCGUGUGUGAAGAAGGCCUUCGGGUUGUAAAGCACUUUCAGUGGGGAAGAAAGCCUUGGGGCUAAUACCCUCGAGGAAGGACAUCACCCACAGAAGAAGCACCGGCUAACUCCGUGCCAGCAGCCGCGGUAAUACGGAGGGUGCGAGCGUUAAUCGGAAUUACUGGGCGUAAAGCGCGCGUAGGCGGUCUGAUAAGCCGGUUGUGAAAGCCCCGGGCUCAACCUGGGAACGGCAUCCGGAACUGUCAGGCUAGAGUGCAGGAGAGGAAGGUAGAAUUCCCGGUGUAGCGGUGAAAUGCGUAGAGAUCGGGAGGAAUACCAGUGGCGAAGGCGGCCUUCUGGACUGACACUGACGCUGAGGUGCGAAAGCGUGGGUAGCAAACAGGAUUAGAUACCGGGUAGUC
rnacentral:rRNA from 1 species